rnacentral:rRNA from 1 species
ACGGGGAGGAGCCCAGAGCCUGAAUCAGUGUGUGUGUUAGUGGAAGCGUCUGGAAAGGCGUGCGAUACAGGGUGACAGCCCCGUACACAAAAAUGCACAUACUGUGAGCUCGAUGAGUAGGGCGGGACACGUGGUAUCCUGUCUGAAUAUGGGGGGACCAUCCUCCAAGGCUAAAUACUCCUGACUGACCGAUAGUGAACCAGUACCGUGAGGGAAAGGCGAAAAGAACCCCGGCGAGGGGAGUGAAAAAGAACCUGAAACCGUGUACGUACAAGCAGUGGGAGCCUCUUUAUGGGGUGACUGCGUACCUUUUGUAUAAUGGGUCAGCGACUUAUAUUCUGUAGCAAGGUUAACCGAAUAGGGGAGCCGAAGGGAAACCGAGUCUUAACUGGGCGUUAAGUUGCAGGGUAUAGACCCGAAACCCGGUGAUCUAGCCAUGGGCAGGUUGAAGGUUGGGUAACACUAACUGGAGGACCGAACCGACUAAUGUUGAAAAAUUAGCGGAUGACUUGUGGCUGGGGGUGAAAGGCCAAUCAAACCGGGAGAUAGCUGGUUCUCCCCGAAAGCU